ensembl:misc_RNA Metazoa_SRP Metazoan signal recognition particle RNA
GCCGGGCGUAGUAGCGGGCGCCUGUAAUCCCAGCUACUCGGGAGGCUGAGGCAGGAGAAUCACUUGAACCCGGGAGGCGGAGGUUGCAGUGGGCCAAGAUCCUGCCACUGCACUCCAGCCCAGGUGACAGAGUGAGACUCUGUCUCAA